ACCUGCAGUUGCUUGCAGUUCACUUAUCCCAGCUUCAACACAGGCAACAGGGAUGAUUUCAGCUUCAGCCCGGGCUCAGCAAUCUCAAACAACUCCCUGCAGAUCACGCCGAGCAAUGGGAACAUGAGCCACAAGUCGGGGAGAGUGGUGUACGCCAAGGAGACCCUUAAGCUGUGGAACGCCAAGCGCACGGCGCUCACCUCCUUCCGGACGGAGUUCGUGCUCAACAUCAUCCCGCAGAGCGGCACCGGAGAAGGCAUGGCCUUCUUCCUCACCAACAAUCCUUCGUUGCCCAGCGACAGCAGCGGGCAGUGGCUCCGCCUGACCAACAACAAGACCGACGGCGCGCCGGCGAACCGGAUCGUCGCGGUGGAGUUCGACACGCGGAGGAGCUUCGAGGCCGAGAUGGACGGCAACCACGUCGGCCUCGACCUCAACAGCGUCAGGUCCGUCGGGCAGUCCCCUCUUAGCAACCUCUCCUUGGAUCUCUCCAGCGGGUCAGACUUGAAGGUCACGCUCGCGUACGACGGCGCGGUUUUGAGCACCGACGUGCUGCAGAUGGGGAGGAUCUUCUCCAACGACCUGUACAUCGACCUGUCGCGGUAUCUGCUGGACAACAUCUCCGUGGGUUUCGCGGCUUCCACCGGCGAGUUCGCGGAGCUGAACCAGGUCAAGUCUUGGAAUUUUACCACGUACGACAACGCGACGGCCGGAGAUGACGGGGGGUAUGUGAGGAGGCGCCAGAAGCUGUUUCUCGCCGUGUUGAUCCCGCUCACCGUAGGCGUGAUGCUCAUGGCCUUGUUCGUCUGGUGGAGGCUGACGCGGCAGGCGAGGCUGGCGUACCGCAACCUCGAGAAGAUGAUCGAUGCCCAUGGCCCCGUCAGGUUUAAGCUCAGGGAGCUCAGGAACGCGACCAGGGACUUCGGCGAUGGCCGUAAGCACGGCCGAGGCGGCUCCGGCACCGUUUACCUCGGGUAUCUGAGGAGGAUGGGCAUGGAAGUGGCCGUGAAGCGGGUGUCUACGAACGUCAACUCCAACCGCGGCGAUAAGGAGUUCGUGGCGGAGGUGAACACUAUCAGCAAGCUCUCGCACCGGAACCUCGUGAAGCUGAUCGGCUGGUGCCACAAGAAGGGCGAGCUGCUUCUCGUCUACGAGUACUUUCCCAUGGGCAGCCUCGACAAGCUCCUUUACGCCAGAGAAAGAACAGCGUCGUCGUCGUCCAUGUCGUCAUCGACGGACACCCCGGAGCUCACAUGGGAGCGGCGGUACAAGAUCAUCCACGGCGUGGCGUCUGCGCUGGAUUACCUUCACCACGGGAGCAGCAAGCGGAUCCUGCACAGGGAUGUCAAGGCCAGCAACGUGAUGCUGGACACCGAGUACAACGCGCGGCUGGGGCAUUUUGGCCUCGCCCGUGUCAUCCAGCACGACGGCGUCACGCACCACUCCACGCAGGUCGUGGCCGGAACCCGCGGCUACAUGGCAUACGAGAGCUUCUUCACCGGCCGCGCCAGCCUUGACACGGACGUGUACGCGUUCUGGGUCUUCGUCAUGGAGGUUGUCAGCGGGCGGAUCCCCAGUGUUAGACUGUAUAUAUACGUAGCCUCUAUAUAUCUGUUGUAA
rnacentral:rRNA from 1 species